CAAAGAAAUGUAUUGUUGAAUAGGAAGUGGGAUGUCUUUUAAUUCUACGCAUGCUCUGCGAGUGAAUGAAAAUAGUUUGCUGUUUUUUUUGGUCUUUUGGGUUGAAACUGCUUAAAUUAACUCAGCGUUUACACAAUUAAAUGCGAUCACAUGCAAGACUAAACUAAAGUUGUUGACAUUCACAUUGGAGCUGAUGAACAGCUGCACCACAGAUCAGCUGAUUCAUAGUGAGGAUGGAGACAAAGACGGGACAGGAAACAGUAGUGCAGACCGAGCCUCUGUGUGGGUGACAAACUGCUGCUCUGCCUCUCUGACACUCAGUGAACAGAGAAGUUGCAGAGAGGGGCGAGUAUCUUCAAGGAACAGUAGAAGACCCAAAACUGCAGUGAGACAGAAAAGAUCAGAGUCUGGUGUAAGGAAGAUUAUUAGAGCCAGACAUGAGGGAAAUUCCUUUUGCAUUUCGAGAAUAAAGUAAAAAUGUUGACUCCUCUCAUCCAUCAAAUCCAGUCAGAGGAGCAACUGGAUUUUUUUUUUUAAAUCCUGUCUAUUCAGACUAAUAUGAUAACAGUCAGUUUUGAAUCCCAAUUACAACCGUGAUUUAGAACAAGUUCUCCAGUCGUCUCUCAGAACUCAGUUUUUAACAGACACUAUGUAUGUGAUGUGCUUUUACUGUCAAUCAUUGAUGAUCUGAGCUGCUAAAUGAUUAAACAGGAAACUGAAUGCACUCCCAAUUGAUCGAUAUUAUUGAU